AUACAACUAAUCCGAUGAAGAACAAGGGCCCUUAGAUCACGAAGGAUCUGUUAUCCUCUCCCAACAAGAAGCACAUCUCAGCCUUUGGUUUGAACCUGGGUAUAGCAUCAUUUGCAGAGAGCAUGACAGGAAAUCACUCUUCUACCUGGAACUUUCCAAUUUGCCUGGGCUUGCUGACCAGCAAGACUCAGGCACUUGCCUGCCUCAGCAUCCCUGGUGCUGUGACCAAAGGAAUGGAAGUAACCAUGAUGGCGGCCUGUUUAAAACUGUGAAUCCUGGGCAUGGAAGUCAGGUCCUGGUGCUGUCACGGUGAUCAACUAUUACCCCGGCUCUGUAUGGUUCCAUUUAUAUGGAAUGUCCAAAAUGCAGAACUCUAGACAGUAGUUAGUGGUUACCUAAGAGGGGGUGGGGGGAAGCUAGAAGGUAAUAGGAAGUAAGGGAUGUAUCUCUAUGUGUGCUUGAUGAUAAAACUGCUUUGAACUUGACUCUAAAAACAUUUACCCAAUGAUGCAAAUGUGCUAAAGGCUAUUAAACUGUGCCCUUUAACAGGCAAAUUUUAUGGUGUAUUCCUCAGUGAAGCUGUAACAUCAGAAGUGUACUGUCAUUUCCUCUUCAUGGAGUUGGUGCCUUGUGAACACGUGAUUCACACAAGGGGACAUUGCCUUUGGUGACAUAGAUAUUAAACUAAUAGACACAAAUUCCAAAAACAAUCUAGAAAUGAGGACAAAAUGUAACAAUGGAUCUCAAAGCUUCAGAAAAGUUAGACCUUCAGAAAAGUCGAAGACUGGAAUGACAAGCGCCCCAGAGAUUGAAGAACAAGUGGAAUGGGCUUUGUUGCAACGCCUGCCUCUAACCGAGAGUCCUAAAACUAGAUCGCUGAAGUGAUACAGGCUCAGAAAAAGGCCAUGGCAAAAGAAGAGUAAGCAGUUAGUUCAACAGAAAAUUUCUCUAUCCACCUCCAAAAUU
rnacentral:lncRNA from 1 species